UUGAACGCUGGCGGCAGGCCUAACACAUGCAAGUCGAACGGUAACAGGAAGCAGCUUGCUGCUUUGCUGACGAGUGGCGGACGGGUGAGUAAUGUCUGGGAAACUGCCCGAUGGAGGGGGAUAACUACUGGAAACGGUAGCUAAUACCGCAUAACGUCGCAAGACCAAAGAGGGGGACCUUAGGGCCUCUUGCCAUCGGAUGUGCCCAGAUGGGAUUAGCUAGUAGGUGGGGUAACGGCUCACCUAGGCGACGAUCCCUAGCUGGUCUGAGAGGAUGACCAGCCACACUGGAACUGAGACACGGUCCAGACUCCUACGGGAGGCAGCAGUGGGGAAUAUUGCACAAUGGGCCCAAGCCUGAUGCAGCCAUGCCGCGUGUAUGAAGAAGGCCUUCGGGUUGUAAAGUACUUUCAGCGGGGAGGAAGGGAGUAAAGUUAAUACCUUUGCUCAUUGACGUUACCCGCAGAAGAAGCACCGGCUAACUCCGUG
rnacentral:rRNA from 1 species